rnacentral:rRNA from 1 species
AACGAACGCUGGCGGCAUGCCUAACACAUGCAAGUCGAACGAAGUCUUCGGACUUAGUGGCGCACGGGUGCGUAACGCGUGGGAAUCUGCCCUUGGGUGCGGAAUAACUUCUCGAAAGGGAUGCUAAUACCGCAUAAUGUCGUAAGACCAAAGAUUUAUCGCCCAAGGAUGAGCCCGCGUAAGAUUAGCUAGUUGGUGGGGUAAAAGCCUACCAAGGCGACGAUCUUUAGCUGGUCUGAGAGGAUGAUCAGCCACACUGGGACUGAGACACGGCCCAGACUCCUACGGGAGGCAGCAGUGGGGAAUAUUGGACAAUGGGCGAAAGCCUGAUCCAGCAAUGCCGCGUGAGUGAUGAAGGCCCUAGGGUUGUAAAGCUCUUUUACCCGAGAUGAUAA